rnacentral:rRNA from 1 species
UACAGAGGGGGCAAGCGUUAUUCGGAAUUAUUGGGCGUAAAAGGGCGCGUAGGCGGCCUUGCAAGUGACGGGUGAAAUCCCUCGGCUAAGCCGGGGAACCUGCGUCUGAUACUGGAUGGCUUGGAUUGGGAGAGGGAUGCGGAAUUCCAGGUGUAGCGGUGAAAUGCGUAGAUAUCUGGAGGAACACCGGUGGCGAAGGCGGCAUCCUGGACCAAUAUUGACGCUGAGGAGCGAAAGCCAGGGGAGCAAACGGG